UACGUAGGUGACAAGCGUUGUCCGGAAUUAUUGGGCGUAAAGAGCUCGUAGGCGGUUUGUCGCGUCUGCUGUGAAAACUCGGGGCUUAACUCCGGGCCUGCAGUGGGUACGGGCAGACUAGAGUGCGGUAGGGGAGACUGGAAUUUACGGUGUAGCGGUGAAAUGCGUAGAUAUCGUAAGGAAGACCAGUGGCGAAGGCGGGUCUCUGGACAGUUCCUGACGCUGAGGCACGAAGGUCAGGGGAGCAAACGGG
rnacentral:rRNA from 1 species